GACAGAGGGGGCAAGCGUUGCUCGGAAUCACUGGGCGUAAAGCGCACGUAGGCGGAUUGUUAAGUCAGGGGUGAAAUCCUGGAGCUCAACUCCAGAACUGCCUUUGAUACUGAGGAUCUUGAGUUCGGGAGAGGUGAGUGGAACUGCGAGUGUAGAGGUGAAAUUCGUAGAUAUUCGCAAGAACACCAGUGGCGAAGGCGGCUCACUGGCCCGAUACUGACGCUGAGGCACGAAAGCGUGGGGAGCAAACAGG
rnacentral:rRNA from 1 species